rnacentral:rRNA from 1 species
UUCGAUUCUGGCUCAGAACGAACGCUGGUGGCGUGUCUAUACAUGCAAGUCGAGCGAGGCAGCAAUGCCGAGCGGCGAACGGGUGAGUAACGCGUAAGCAAUCUGCCCCAUAUCAAGAAAUACCCGUGCCAACGCGCGGUUAAUGUCCAGGAGAGUGGCCCUCUGCAUGGAGGGUUGACUAGAGAUUUAUCGGUAUGGGAUGAGCUUGCGUCCGAUUAGCUAGUUGGCGGGGCAACGGCCCACCAAGGCGACGAUCGGUAGCCGGCCUGAGAGGGUGAUCGGCCACAUUGGGACUGAGAUACGGCCCAGACUCCUACGGGAGGCAGCAGUAGGGAAUAUUGCACAAUGGGGGAAACCCUGAUGCAGCAACGCCACGUGUGGGAAGAAGCAUUUCGGUGUGUAAACCACUGUCAUGAGGGAAUAAGGCCCUUAUUCGUAAGGGAUUGAAUGUACCUUGAGAGGAAGCACCGGCAAACUUCGUGCCAGCAGCAGC